AGGAGCAUCGGGCGCCGGCAGAACAACGUUGUGGAGCUGCGCAACGCACGCAACGUGGAUCCACCACCUGCAGCGGAGCGGCAACGGUAUACUUCGCUACAACGGUCAAAGUUGGAUACAGCGAUCGGAUAAUUCAAUUGAAUGGAGAAAUGCCGCAUUGUCCCGAGAAUCGAUCGUUUCACACGAGG